AAAAAAAAAAAAAAAAACACAGCGUUUAUGGCUGGGCUCUCUAAGGUGCGCCUGACGCCUUGGUGCACUUGGCCUCACCUGGGUGCACCUCCUGUAGUUUGCUCGCCUUUGGGUGUCUCAGGCGAUGGGUCGCGCGCCUUGCGCCUUAGGCGCCCCUCUCUGCAAGGUCUUAAGCAACUCACUGUCAUCCAGCCUGUCCUCUCUGACUAAUGCCCUGACAAUUUCAGAAAGCGGUUUGGUGUUGCUAUGUAAUGAUGGUUGACUUUCAAAUAGUCUUGUUACUGCUUCAGGAUCAUUUCGGUGAUAAAGUUCUUUAAGAUGUGGAACUUCACUAGCUUCAUCUGUACCACGCACACUGCGACCUAAGUUACCAGCAUAGCUCGACUGAAACCUUCUUUCAGCAUUUAAAAGCCCACUCCCUGCAUCGCAUCCAAGCUUGCUAGCAGGAAAGUAAGUUCUGACAAACAAACUUUUGUACUGUCCUAACUCUGAUUGAUGCCUUGAAGCCUGCGUGAUUAGGCGCCUCCAAGCCAUGCCGCGACUAGGAACCAAAGAGGUCUGAUCUUCUUUGCUUCGUUAGCUCCUUCUCUCUCUGAGUGUCCGAAAAUAUGUUGGCGAUGCGAUGUAAAGUGAAAGUAUUUCGGGUGUGCUUGGAUAGCGAGAAAAAGAAGGAAAAUGAGAAGGUCUCGAGUGUAAA
rnacentral:misc_RNA from 1 species